CUGAGGCUGGAGAUCUUUGUACUUCAUCCAGAGACCGCACAAGCUAGGACUCUAAAGCUGCUCAGAUUGGAGGCUGCAAGGCUGCAGUUCCAGGGCGUUCUGUGAGCACGAUUUGUGAAUGGGUCCACCUCAUCCUCCGGGGUUCCUCCAGACGGCAGGAGCUCCCAGUGCCGAAAUUGACAAACCUUCCACUACCUUUAUUUCACUCUCUCCUAAUCCUUUUUUCCCAAAGAGUAAUAUUUUCAUAACGGGUUACUGAGAGCACUCUAAAAUUUACUGUGGUGAUGAUUGCAUAACUGUGCAUAUAUUAAAAUCCACUGAACUUUAAAUGGGUGCAUUCCUCCACCCGUGAGCAAGCUGGCUUCCAAAGGCUGUGCAUAAAGCCCUGUAUUCACAAGUCAGAACUGGUAUGUAAAGGUUACAGAGAAAGUCUUCCAUAGAAGGUAGACAAAACCAGCCUGCAUUGCCUCUGGUGUACUGUUUUAAAACAACAUGGAAGGUAAUAAGGAUAAAGUUUAU